UACGUAGGGUGCAAGCGUUAAUCGGAAUUACUGGGCGUAAAGCGUGCGCAGGCGGUGAUGUAAGACAGUUGUGAAAUCCCCGGGCUCAACCUGGGAACUGCAUCUGUGACUGCAUCGCUGGAGUACGGUAGAGGGGGAUGGAAUUCCGCGUGUAGCAGUGAAAUGCGUAGAUAUGCGGAGGAACACCGAUGGCGAAGGCAAUCCCCUGGACCUGUACUGACGCUCAUACACGAAAGCGUGGGGAGCAAACAGG
rnacentral:rRNA from 1 species